rnacentral:rRNA from 1 species
AGCGAACGCUGGCGGCAUGCUUAACACAUGCAAGUCGCACGGGCAGCAAUGUCAGUGGCGGACGGGUGAGUAACGCGUAGGAACAUGUCCAGUGGUGGGGAUAACGUUGGGAAACUGACGCUAAUACCGCAUGAGCCCUGAGGGGGAAAGCAGCGAUGCGCCGAUGGAGUGGCCUGCGUAGGAUUAGCUUGUUGGUGGGGUAAUGGCCUACCAAGGCUACGAUCCUUAGCUGGUCUGAGAGGACGAUCAGCCACAUUGGGACUGAGACACGGCCCAAACUCCUACGGGAGGCAGCAGUGGGGAAUAUUGGACAAUGGGCGCAAGCCUGAUCCAGCAAUGCCGCGUGUGUGAAGAAGGUCUUCGGAUUGUAAAAUUCUUUUGCAGGGGAAGAUAAUGACGGUACCCUGCGAAUAAGCUCCGGCUAACUUCGUGCCAGCAGCCGCGGUAAU